rnacentral:rRNA from 1 species
AUUGAACGCUGGCGGCAGGCCUAACACAUGCAAGUCGAGCGGGGUUUUCGGACCUAGCGGCGGACGGGUGAGUAAUGCGUAGGAAGCUACCCGAUAGAGGGGGAUACCAGUUGGAAACGACUGUUAAUACCGCAUAAUGUCAACGGACCAAAGUGUGGGACCUUCGGGCCACAUGCUAUCGGAUGCGCCUACGUGGGAUUAGCUAGUUGGUGAGGUAAUGGCUCACCAAGGCGACGAUCCCUAGCUGGUUGGAGAGGAUGAUCAGCCACACUGGAACUGAGACACGGUCCAGACUCCUACGGGAGGCAGCAGUGGGGAAUAUUGGACAAUGGGCGCAAGCCUGAUCCAGCCAUGCCGCGUGUGUGAAGAAGGCCUUCGGGUUGUAAAGCACUUUCAGUAGGGAGGAAGCGUUGUGUGUUAAUAGUACACAGCGUUGACGGUACCUACAGAAGAAGCACCGGCUAACUCUGUGCCAGCCGCCGCGGUAAAAC